CAAUCAUCUUAUCAGCUGGCAGGACAGGACCGGAAAGGACAGGAUCGGACCAGGCAGGACAGGACCGGAAAGGACAGGAUCGGACCGGGCAGGACAGGACCGGAAAGGACAGGGCAGGACAGGAUCGGACCAGGCAGAACAGGAUCGGACCGGGCAGGACAGGACCGGAAAGGACAGGGCAGGACAGGAUCGGACCGGGCAGGACAGGACCGGAAAGGACAGGAUCGGACCAGGCAGGACAGGACCGGAAAGGACAGGAUCGGACCGGGCAGGACAGGAGGAUCUCAAACUAGGCAGAUGGACCCCAGAUGAGUAGGACCUGAGCCCUAGAACCAUGCCUCAGGACUACCUGGCAUUAUGACUCCUUGCUGUCCCCAGUCCACCUGGCCAUGCUGCUGCUCCAAUUUAAACUGUUCUGCCUGCGGCUAUGGAACCCCGACCUGUUCACCGGAUGUGCUACCUGUCCCAGACCUGCUGUUUUCAACUCUCUAGAGCCAGCAGGAGUGGUAGAGAUACUCUCAAUGAUCUGCUAUGAAAAGCUAACUGACAUUUACUCUAAGGUGCUGACUUGUUGCACCCUCGACAACUACUGUGAUUAUUAUUAUUUGACCAUGCUGGUCAUUUAUGAACAUUUGAACAUCUUGGCCAUGUUCUGUUAUAAUCUCCACCCGGCACAGCCAGAAGAGGACUGGCCACCCCUCAGAGCCUAGUUCCUCUCUAUGUUUCUUCCUAGGUUUUGGCCUUUCUAGGGAGUUUUUCCUAGCCACCGUGCUUCUACACCUGCAUUGCUUGCUGUUUGGGGUUUUAGGCUGGGUUUCUGUACAGCACUUUGAGAUAUAAGCUCAUGUAAGAAGGGCUAUAUAAAUACAUUUGAUAUCGACAUGGUCACAAAUGGGUCUUCCAAAUGGACAAUGAUCCCAAGCAUACUUCCAAUGUUGUGGCAAAAUGGUUUAAGGACAACAAAGUCAAGGUAUUGGAGUGGCUAUCACAAAGCCCUGACCUCAAUCCCAUAGAAAAUUUGUGGGCAGAACUGAAAAAGCAUGUGCGAGCAGGGAUGCCUACAAACCUGACUCAGUUACACCAGCUCUGUCAGGAGGAAUGGGCCAAAAUUCACCCAAUUUAUUGUGGGAAGCUUGUGGAAGGCUACCCGAAACAUUUAACCCAAGUUAAACAAUUUAAAGGCAAUGCUAUCAAAUACUAAUUGAGUGUAUGUAAACUUCUGACCCACUGGGAAUGUGAUGAAAGAAAUAAAAGCUGAAAUAAAUCA